rnacentral:rRNA from 1 species
GCGAACCGGGGGAACUGAAACAUCUAAGUACCCCGAGGAAAAGAAAUCAACCGAGAUUCCCCCAGUAGCGGCGAGCGAACGGGGAGGAGCCCAGAGCCUGAAUCAGCAUGUGUGUUAGUGGAAGCGUCUGGAAAGUCGCGCGAUACAGGGUGACAGCCCCGUACACAAAAGCGCAUGUGCUGUGAGCUCGAUGAGUAGGGCGGGACACGUGGUAUCCUGUCUGAAUAUGGGGGGACCAUCCUCCAAGGCUAAAUACUCCUGACUGACCGAUAGUGAACCAGUACCGUGAGGGAAAGGCGAAAAGAACCCCGGCGAGGGGAGUGAAACAGAACCUGAAACCGUGUACGUACAAGCAGUGGGAGCACAGGUUUACCUGUGUGACUGCGUACCUUUUGUAUAAUGGGUCAGCGACUUAUAUUCUGUAGCAAGGUUAACCGAAUAGGGGAGCCGGAGGGAAACCGAGUCUUAAUUGGGCGUUAAGUUGCAGGGUAUAGACCCGAAACCCGGUGAUCUAGCCAUGGGCAGGUUGAAGGUUGGGUAACACUAACUGGAGGACCGAACCGACUAAUGUUGAAAAAUUAGCGGAUGACCUGUGGCUGGGGGUGAAAGGCCAAUCAAACCGGGAGAUAGCUGGUUCUCCCCGAAAGCUAUUUAGGUAGCGCCUCGUGAAUUCAUCUCCGGGGGUAGAGCACUGUUUCGGCUAGGGGGCCAUCCCGGCUUACCAACCCGAUGCAAACUGCGAAUACCGGAGAAUGUUAUCACGGGAGACACACGGCGGGUGCUAACGUCCGUCGUGAAGAGGGAAACAACCCAGACCGCCAGCUAAGGUCCCAAAGUCAUGGUUAAGUGGGAAACGAUGUGGGAAGGCCCAGACAGCCAGGAUGUUGGCUUAGAAGCAGCCAUCAUUUAAAGAAAGCGUAAUAGCUCACUGGUCGAGUCGGCCUGCGCGGAAGAUGUAACGGGGCUAAACCAUGCACCGAAGCUGCGGCAGCGACGUUUAUGCGUUGUUGGGUAGGGGAGCGUUCUGUAAGCCUGCGAAGGUGGCCUGUGAGGGUUGCUGGAGGUAUCAGAAGUGCGAAUGCUGACAUAAGUAACGAUAAAGCGGGUGAAAAGCCCGCUCGCCGGAAGACCAAGGGUUCCUGUCCAACGUUAAUCGGGGCAGGGUGAGUCGACCCCUAAGGCGAGGCCGAAAGGCGUAGUCGAUGGGAAACGGGUUAAUAUUCCCGUACUUGGUGUUACUGCGAAGGGGGGACGGAGAAGGCUAUGUUGGCCGGGCGACGGUUGUCCCGGUUUAAGCGUGUAGGUGUGUGUUCCAGGUAAAUCCGGUUCACUUUAACACUGAGGCGUGAUGACGCUGUUUAUUAAAAACACAGCACUGUGCAAACACGAAAGUGGACGUAUACGGUGUGACGCCUGCCCGGUGCCGGAAGGUUAAUUGAUGGGGUCAGCGCAAGCGAAGCUCCUGAUCGAAGCCCCGGUAAACGGCGGCCGUAACUAUAACGGUCCUAAGGUAGCGAAAUUCCUUGUCGGGUAAGUUCCGACCUGCACGAAUGGCGUAAUGAUGGCCAGGCUGUCUCCACCCGAGACUCAGUGAAAUUGAACUCGCUGUGAAGAUGCAGUGUACCCGCGGCAAGACGGAAAGACCCCGUGAACCUUUACUAUAGCUUGACACUGAACAUUGAGCCUUGAUGUGUAGGAUAGGUGGGAGGCUUUGAAGCGUGGACGCCAGUCUGCGUGGAGCCGACCUUGAAAUACCACCCUUUAAUGUUUGAUGUUCUAACGUGGACCCGUAAUCCGGGUUGCGGACAGUGUCUGGUGGGUAGUUUGACUGGGGCGGUCUCCUCCUAAAGAGUAACGGAGGAGCACGAAGGUUGGCUAAUCCUGGUCGGACAUCAGGAGGUUAGUGCAAUGGCAUAAGCCAGCUUGACUGCGAGCGUGACGGCGCGAGCAGGUGCGAAAGCAGGUCAUAGUGAUCCGGUGGUUCUGAAUGGAAGGGCCAUCGCUCAACGGAUAAAAGGUACUCCGGGGAUAACAGGCUGAUACCGCCCAAGAGUUCAUAUCGACGGCGGUGUUUGGCACCUCGAUGUCGGCUCAUCACAUCCUGGGGCUGAAGUAGGUCCCAAGGGUAUGGCUGUUCGCCAUUUAAAGUGGUACGCGAGCUGGGUUUAGAACGUCGUGAGACAGUUCGGUCCCUAUCUGCCGUGGGCGCUGGAGAACUGAGGGGGGCUGCUCCUAGUACGAGAGGACCGGAGUGGACGCAUCACUGGUGUUCGGGUUGUCAUGCCAAUGGCACUGCCCGGUAGCUAAAUGCGGAAGAGAUAAGUGCUGAAAGCAUCUAAGCACGAAACUUGCCCCGAGAUGAGUUCUCCCUGAGACUU